rnacentral:lncRNA from 1 species
UACUCUCGAAUAUUCAUCAUCCCAUAAAGCAUCCUCUCUGGAUUGUAAGACAUCUCAGACCUCUCGUUAAAAUUCUGACUUUGAGAAGUAUCCUCGAGAUGAUGGUACGGUUGUGGAGGAGCCCAUCCAAAUAUGCCAGUAGCAAAAUCUGAUCUGUAAGAUGCUCCAGACUGCAUAGGGUAGUAACCACUAGAAGAUGAUGCCUCGGAUGCACCAUAUGCAUAUGGAUCAUAAGGUGGCUGUGGAUAAUAGGAUUCAUAAUGCGAGGAUGAUCCAGAUACAUCCAUGGACCCUACUGUAGGGUUUUGGUGUACAGAGCGGAAGCACGGAUUUCAAAGCAUUUAAUAUGAAAUCAUAAACCAAAACCUAACUCCAGGAACACCUUAUUAGAAUUUAAACCAUAUUAAUAUGCAUUAAUAUCAGAAUAUAAGGUAUAGAAACAUACCUACAAUCGCUAAACCCUUAUUUGUGCUCGAUUGUCGGCAGCAGUCCGUCAGGGUUUCCACCAGGUGCCCACGUGUUCACCCUCCAACGUUGAUCCACAUAGGGACUCGAUCAACCCUCUAGCACCUUUUAAAUUUUUUCUGCAAUUAAAUUCUUAUUUUUCAGAAUUUAAUUUCUAUUUGGGCAGAACCUCCUUUCUUGGCUUUGCUGUCACCCUGUUGAACCUUUCCUUGCCUUUCUUUCUUGCUCCUUGUCACCUUAGUUUUUAUUCUAAUUCUCUAAGCCUUUUGGAAGACUUCUUGUCCUCUAUCAGGAUCUUGUCUAGGCUAGAGAAGAAGAAUAAGAAAAAUUGGACAAGAGGAGCCUAUUCUAAAAAAAAAAGAAGGAGAAUUGGAUGUCUUGGACACUAGGUGUGCACCCCUAUUUAUAUUGCACGUAGGGGUGCAAACCAAGCAUCUCACGCCCACACACAAAGCAUCUCACGCCUCCUCCCAUUUUCUCACGCCCCAUCAGAGUAUAGAAUGCCAUGUGUACAUCAAAGUUGGGUUGAAGAGGUGCCUCGAGGCAGAAGGACUCUUCAUACUCAACUUACGGUGUUCACAUGAGAAGUCGCAAUGCUUCUCUUAUUGGUGCCAUUUCUCAUAGCCUUUGGAUCUGGAAGGAAGCCCAUCCAAUGGCCAAGAGAGAGGGCGCCAACAUCAGGGUGGGCGCAUGAGAGAGGAGGGCAUGGAAAAGUCAAAACUAUCUCUCCAUUUGACUUGGUCCAAGGGGCGCUUCCAAGGGGUGGCGCAUGGGAUUUCAUCCUUAUCUCUUCCCACAAAUAUUCUACGGAGUGUUUCAGAUACAGAAGGACUCUUAGGCGCCUUCUAAGAGAUCUGAAAGCCUCGUAGAAUAAAAAACCAUGGAAGAAAAAUGGAUAAUUCUAAGCAAGGGGCGCCAACACUCAUCCAUGCGCCAUGUGUCACAUGCGCAUGGACCAAAAACUCAUGCGCCAAGAGAGAGAGUCUCAGGCGCAUGGGUUUGAAAUUAAAAACAGCCAAGUGUUAAGUAAUUAAACAAAAGGUUAACCCAAUUAACUAGCCAAAUUUAAUUUGACUCUAAUUGGAUCUAAUUAGCGCAAAUCGGAAUCCGAUUCGAAUCCGAUUCGAAUCUAGAUGCUAGGGUUUGCAACAUGUGCUAGCAUGUUCAACUUGCAAACAUGGUUUAAUCCAAUUAAACCCCUGAUCGAUUUUCUUUGUGUGUGAUCCAUUGGGUUCCACAUCUAGCCAGCAGUGAGUCCGGAUGCAAUUUAACCUAAUCUAGUUAGAACACAACCGAGCCGAUUUAGGUCAAAUCGAGCUGACCCGUUUCGAUCAAUCAGAACAACUUCUAAUGUUCGAUCGUAUUAAACUCUUUAAUCCGAUCGAACUCAUAAGACAUGAUUGACGUCUAGCAACGUGUCGUGUCUACCUGGAAGAUAUGAAAUUUUGAUGGAAAUACCAAAAAUACCCUUCAGUAGGAAGUUACCGUGCAACUUGAUCUUACGAUCAUCCUGCAAUCCGAAUAUAACUUUGAGUAUGGAAAAAUGUCAAACCCAAUUUUAUAUUCAUAUUUCUCUCGAUCAAAUAAUGAUGAUUCGAUUUAUAAAACAUUAGAAAUCAUUUCUAAUAUUUUAUCAUAUUUUGAUCAAAGUCUUCCUGAAUCACCAUUCGAUCGAAGCAGAU